GACGAACGCUGGCGGCGUGCUUAACACAUGCAAGUCGAACGAUGAUGCUCACAGCUUGCUGUGGGUGGAUUAGUGGCGAACGGGUGAGUAACACGUGAGUAACCUGCCUUUCACUCUGGGAUAAGCCUUGGAAACGAGGUCUAAUACUGGAUAUGACUUCUGGCCGCAUGGUUGGGGGUGGAAAGCCUUCGGGUGGUGGAUGAUGGACUCGCGGACUAUCAGCUUGUUGGUGGGGUUGUGGCCUACCAAGGCGAUGACGGUUAGCCGGCCUGUGAGGGUGACCGGCCACAUUGGGACUGAGACACGGCCCAGACUCCUACGGGAGCAGCAGUGGGGAAUAUUGCACAAUGGGCGAAAGCCUGAUGCAGCGACGCCGCGUGGGGGAUGACGGCCUUCGGGUUGUAAACUCCUUUCGCUCGUGACGAAGCCUUUCGGGGUGACGGUAGCGGGAGAAGAAGCACCGGCUAACUACGUGCCAGCCGCCGCAGUAAAAC
rnacentral:rRNA from 1 species